AUGCCCUCGCUCCUCAUGUUCCUCCUCACGUUCUCCCUGAGGAUGGAGCGGAUCACCUUGAUGAUGUUGACUUUGCUCUCUGGCACACUGAGGAGGACACAGCAGAGACAUCAUAGUAACAUGAGCACAGGUGCAAUAAGUGCAUUCAACUAUGUGGCUAAACUGCUGGACUGUUUACAACGCUACCGACCACUUGGCCUGUUGAACAUCCCAGACCUCAUUACUUUGUGCAGAGAGUGGAAUGAGCCAACGGAACUUAAAGGGGUCCGAAUCUCCGUGAGAAAGUGCUGAACGAGGGUUGGUCUGGUCAUCACAUAGAAAAUGCCAUCUUGUUGUUUUCCCUGUAGACCAAUAUCACCGCUUUCUUGAACACUGGUGAGAGAGAGAGAACACAUCAGCGUCUUACUUUUGACUGUGAAUGCCUCUUGGGGAAAGCUGACUGAAGGAGAGGAACCCCACAAAAGUGUUUUAGAUGCCAGCUUGAAGCCUUAAAGCAUAUAUCAGCACUACAGCUACGGAUAUUGAAAUUGUGUAACUGCAGACACAGUUAUAUGUGGCUGCAUGGCAAACCCUAUACAAAUGGUUUGUAACUUUUAACUGCAAGCAUCCAUGGAUGACAUAAAAAAAGGGAUCUAAUAUUAAAAAUUUCCAUAUUUAGUCGUUUUUGCCCAAAGCCUUUAAGAUAAAACAUUAUGAGGAGUUUAGUGGGCAUAGCAGGUAACACAUCUUUGGACUUUGGCAAGGGUUGAGAAUGUGGGAAGGAAAAUUUCAAGGACUCCUUUUCCCAGAAUGAAACAGCAAUGGUGGCAGGGCGAGUGUGUAGACUCACCAAACACGGUCAUUUCGGGGUCUUUUCUCAUGCGGCCCAGCGAUGGAUGCGGGUUGAGCCAGACCACUGAGGAAUGCAUGAGAAACUCUCCCAUAGAGAUCUCAGUGACCUGCGACGGACACAAGAGAGGAUUUAGAAGAAAGCGGAGGCAGAGGGAGCAGACAACAACAACAACACAGACUUUUGGCUUUUCAUUGCUGUGUGAGAUACAUACUAACUACCCAUGUCUAUGAAUGAAUGGAGCUCCGCAGACACUACAAACUAGUGUUUCCGCAUGGGGUGCAAGCUGAUUUUCAAGCAAACCUUUGUCUGGUUUUUAUUUGAGAGCUGCUAAACACAUUGAAAACAUACACUAUUCUAGACAGCAUUAUUUAGCAUUCACUUUGAAUAUUUAUGCAGUGGUUACCAACUAAAUAUUCCAUCAAUUUGUAAAUGUAUUCAACCCCCAGAGGCAAUGAACAGAAGACAGCGUAAACAACAUAAGCUUAACAGCUCCACUCUGAUGUACUGAUAGAUAACUGGAUUGAAGAAGUUUAAACUGUGAUAAGAAUUAAGUAUUUGUAUAUUGUAGCAGGUGUCCUGCAAAAUGAUGGACGCUAUGCCAAUCUCACCAAGGCAACUUGGUAUUUACUAUGCCUGGUGAUUAAGAAUUUGAUGUGUAUCUACCUCUU